UAGGGAAUCUUCGGCAAUGGACGAAAGUCUGACCGAGCAACGCCGCGUGAGUGAAGAAGGUUUUCGGAUCGUAAAACUCUGUUGUUAGAGAAGAACAAGGACGUUAGUAACUGAACGUCCCCUGACGGUAUCUAACCAGAAAGCCACGGCUAACUACGUGCCAGCAGCCGCGGUAAUACGUAGGUGGCAAGCGUUGUCCGGAUUUAUUGGGCGUAAAGCGAGCGCAGGCGGUUUCUUAAGUCUGAUGUGAAAGCCCCCGGCUCAACCGGGGAGGGUCAUUGGAAACUGGGAGACUUGAGUGCAGAAGAGGAGAGUGGAAUUCCAUGUGUAGCGGUGAAAUGCGUAGAUAUAUGGAGGAACACCAGUGGCGAAGGGGGCUCUCUGGUCUGUAACUGACGCUGAGGCUCGAAAGCGUGGGGAGCAAACAGG
rnacentral:rRNA from 2 species